GAUGAAUGCUGGCGGCGUGCCUAACACAUGCAAGUCGAGCGGUAAGGCCCUUCGGGGUACACGAGCGGCGGACGGCUGAGUAACGCGUGGGAAUUUGCCCCAAAGUGAGGAAUAACUGCCCGAAAGGGUAGCCAAUGCCGCAUAUGGUCUUCGGAUUAAAGGAUUUAUCCGCUUUGGGAGAAGCCCGCGUUGGAUUAGGUAGUUGGUGAGAUAAAAGCUCACCAAGCCAACGAUCCAUAGCUGGUCUGAGAGGAUGACCAGCCAGACUGGAACUGAGACACGGUCCAGACUCCUACGGGAGGCAGCAGUGAGGAAUCUUCCACAAUGGGCGAAAGCCUGAUGGAGCAACGCCGCGUGCAGGAUGAAGGCCUUCGGGUUGUAAACUGCUUUUAUGAGUGAAGAAUAUGACGGUAACUCAUGAAUAAGCACCGGCUAACUACGUGCCAGCAGCCGCGGUAAUAC
rnacentral:rRNA from 1 species